CCAAAUUUUUACAGUCUGCCCACAUUCAGUUUUCUGUUAUUUGAAGCUGAAGGCAUUCCAAGGACACAGAUUGAUUACCUUGAUUGCUGACGACUGUCUGGUUCCCAGUUUUUUUCUUGGGGAAGGCCAAUUUCAAUGCCUGCCCUUGGGUUCCACUAGGACCCUUUGUAUCACUUAAGAUUCUUUGGUUGCCAACAACAGAAACCUCCUGUAGCUCACUUCCGCAGAAAGGGAGUUUACUCACAGAAAAUGAGGAAGCUUAAGAAUCAAAGGACAAACAAAGCAGAAGAGCCAGGGCGGUCAGGAGCCGGCUUUUCUUCCCCCAUGGAUGCCCGCCUUUCCCUUCAGCCGGUUUGACUUUCUGUCAUUUGCAACCAACAUCUCCUUUACCGAGACACUGCCUCCCCUGGCGGCUGGGAGAAGCUGCCUGCAGCCUCUCCCCCGGGGUGGUAUUAAGGUACAACAGGGUACCUGCGGUCCCCAAAGCCUCCCAAUCUUCUGGUCCCCCAAGAAGCUAAGGCAAACAACUUCCUUCCACCCUCGCCAAUGGUGGCCUGUUUGGAUUCUUGGAUUCGUGACUUCACAGAUAAGAUGCCCUUCUCUAGCAGCUUUUGGCAAAGCCACCCAUGCCUGCUGCUGUGAAAACCAGAGUCAUGAGCGUCUGCAGAAAAAAAUAGCUUCCAGAUCUGCAUUCCAAAGCGUGCUCCUGCCUGCCCAGUUGAGCACACGCAACUCGUUGGAAAGAUGAUGUUGGUUCUCAAGGAGAUUCAUCGCCUCCAAGAAAAGCACAAAAAGAGAGCUCUACAGAUGGAUAGGUGGGGUCCUGAUGACCUACACAUGGGUCUACCUGUAGCUGGUGCCCGGUGCCCCUGUCCUGCUCAACAGCCACACGAGCACCUGCCUCAAGCGGGUCCCCCCGCCCCCACCGUGCACCCUGUGUACAACUUCCAGACUUUGCAGGAGGCGAGAAAGCCCCUGAGACCAACCCGGCUGUGACCCCAUACCCUGUUCUCACUCCUCCAAUCACUCAAAAGAGUUAUCGGGGCUGUCCCUGAACCUUGACCUCUGUGUAUCUUUCUCGAUCAGUCAAGGGUUUCCCGGUUCUUUUGGAGAGCGUUUGUGAUGAUUAAUCAGUAAGCUGGUAUUUAUAAAGUGCUAAGUGAGUGCUGUACUU